rnacentral:misc_RNA from 1 species
GAUGAAGAACGUAGCGAAAUGCGAUACUUGGUGUGAAUUGCAGAAUCCCGUGAACCAUCGAGUCUUUGAACGCAAGUUGCGCCCGAAGCCAUCAGGUUGAGGGCACGUCUGCCUGGGCGUCACAUAUCGUUGCCCAAUGCCUAUUGCAGUGCAAUAGGAAUUUCUAGGGCGAAUGAUGGCUUCCCGUGAGCGUUGUUGCCUCGCGGUUGGUUGAAAAUCGAGUCCUUGGUAGGGUGUGCCAUGGUAGAUGGUGGUCGAGUUAGAACGAUACCGAUCAUGUGCAUGCUCCCCAAAAUAUGGCCUCUAUGACCCACACGCGUCUUUUGACGCUCAUGACGAGACCUCAGGUCAGGCGGGGCUACCCGCUGAAUUUAAGCAUAUCAAUAAGCGGAGA